AACGAACGCUGGCGGUGUGCUUAACACAUGCAAGUCGAACGAGAAAGUUUCCUUCGGGAAGCGAGUAAAGUGGCGCAAGGGUGAGUAACACGUGAAUAAUCUACCCCCGAGACUGGGAUAACCUGGUGAAAACUAGGCUAAUACCGGAUAAGACCACGUCCCGCAAGGGAUGCGGAAAAAGGAGGCUCAACCUCCACUUGGAGAUGAGUUCGCGGACCAUUAGCUUGUUGGUGAGAUAAAAGCUCACCAAGGCUACGAUGGAUAGCCGGCCUGAGAGGACGAUCAGCCACACUGGGACUGAGACACGGCCCAGACUCCUACGGGAGGCAGCAGUGGGGAAUAUUGCGCAAUGGGCGAAAGCCUGACGCAGCCACGCCGCGUGAGGGAUG
rnacentral:rRNA from 1 species